UCCGGUUUAUCACCGGCAGUUUCCUUAGAGUCCCCGACAUUACUCGCUGGCAACUAAGGAUGAGGGUUGCGCUCGUUGCGGGACUUAACCCAACAUCUCACGACACGAGCUGACGACAGCCAUGCAACACCUGUGUGUGGUCCAGCCGAACUGACUCCCUAAUCUCUUAGGGAUAUAACCACCAUGUCAAGGGUUGGUAAGGUUUUUCGCGUUGCAUCGAAUUAAACCACAUGCUCCACCGCUUGUGCGGGUCCCCGUCAAUUCCUUUGAGUUUUAACCUUGCGGCCGUACUCCCCAGGCGGGGUGCUUAACGCGUUAGCUACGACACCGAAGCUCAAGGCCCCGAUAUCUAGCACCCAUCGUUUACGGCGUGGACUAC
rnacentral:misc_RNA from 1 species